GAGGAAUAGGCAGAGGGGGAAGAUCAGACGAAGAGAGAGUUUCUAUGGAGGAGGAUCAGAGGAGAGAGGUCAGUAUGGGUAUAGGAAGGUCAGAAGAAGGUAUGGGGGAGUCCCAGGGAGGCGCUCAGGCCUCGGGGUUUGGCUAUCCACCCUUUCCUCAGGGCCCAGAGUAUCCGAUGGGAGGCACGUCGGAUUACUCCAGCUUUGCCCCAUAUCCACCCUACAUGCCAUAUAUGCCCUAUCCUUCCUUUUAUCCACC
rnacentral:lncRNA from 1 species